GAAAAGAGCUAAGCUUCAAAACCCAAAAUCAUGGUCACAGCCACCAAGAAAAGCAAUGUCAUCACUUUUUGUAAGGCUGAGACAAGUCGUCUGUGCUGGAAAAACAACAGCCAGCCUGAGGUAAUGGACUACACACUACCAAUCCUCCUCAUAAUUUGACUAACCGACCUGUUUAAACCGGAUCCCAUCCAGCUCAUUGGCCGUCUACGUGGGCCUAGAACGCCGUCGGUUCGUUUUCCCGACUCGGUUCCAAAACUUGUCAGUUUUCGUUGACAUCCUACGAAAGGAUUCGUAGGAAUUCGGGUUCCCGACAACAUGUGUUGCCAAUUUUCUGAGAAACCUUGAAAUUACUUGAAAGUGAUGAAGAAAAAUUUGGCGUGCUGGGUUUGGGGAAGUUGUUAAAGCUUUUUCCUGAAGUGGGUAUUGAAUCUUUUGACCAUUUUCCUUGUGAAAAUUCUUCUUACCACGACUUCACUCCAUUGCUGCAGAAGAUUAAGGUAGGCUAAGGUAAUUUGAACCUUAAGGGUUUUCGUAUAUGAUAUAGGACUAAUAAUGUUGGUUUAUUUCCUCUUGUAACCAUCCUUGGGACGAGAGAGUAGGAUUAGGUUUCUGGUUACUCAAUGAGAUGUUCGAUUUUUCACUUAUUUUAGGGUUUCUUUUUUGAGUGAUUUUAAUUUAGAUUGUGAUGAUGAAGAUAAUAUUAGGAGAUUAAUGGAAAUUCUGGCUGAGAGUGUUAUGAAAUUUUAAACUCUGAAACAUUUUUAGCGUUCAUUGCUGUAUUAUUUACAUGUUUAGACCUUUUAAUAUUUUUUUUUCUGCCCCUAAUUUAGACGUUCUUUGGUUAUCAAUGUUCAUUGUUCUUCUACUAGUAUUCUAAUCAUUUUUACUGCAUUUCUUUUAAUUCUUCUAAUUUUUAAGGUACAUUGUAGAAGUAUCAGAAAUUGAGGCCUAGAGCUGCCACUGUGAUUAGGGCAAAUGAAGCAUAGUGGAGCAGGAUUCCGCAAGGGGAGCUAAAAUUGGACUCUUAGCAUGGUAAGGACGUUGAACCUCAAGCUUACAAAAAAAGGUUAAGGUCCCCUACAUUGGCCAUGGGUGGGGCCCAAAAGGCUAAUAAAGAGGUCAAGGACAUCGGACCUGGGCUAUAUCACCCAUCCCAGGGACAUAAGUUGGACGAGAUGCAUGAGCAUGAGUAGUCAGGGACUCAUGAACCUCCAUGUCGGACGCAGGAGUUAAAUGGCAUCAUCAGGUAUUAUUCUUAUGACAUCAUGAAAGACAAUGCAAUAGCAAUAGCUAUCAUACUUGUAGUUUAAAUGGACAUGUUAGUGUUUUAUGAAUAAGUAAAAUAUAUACUGUG
rnacentral:lncRNA from 1 species